UGGGGAAUAUUGCACAAUGGGCGAAAGCCUGAUGCAGCGACGCCGCGUGAGGGAUGACGGCCUUCGGGUUGUAAACCUCUUUCAGCAGGGACGAAGCGCAAGUGACGGUACCUGCAGAAGAAGCACCGGCUAACUACGUGCCAGCAGCCGCGGUAAUACGUAGGGUGCAAGCGUUGUCCGGAAUUACUGGGCGUAAAGAGUUCGUAGGCGGUUUGUCGCGUCGUUUGUGAAAACCAGCAGCUCAACUGCUGGCUUGCAGGCGAUACGGGCAGACUUGAGUACUGCAGGGGAGACUGGAAUUCCUGGUGUAACGGUGAAAUGCGCAGAUAUCAGGAGGAAAACCGGUGGCGAAGGCGGGUCUCUGGGCAGUAACUGACGCUGAGGAACGAAAGCGUGGGUAGCGAACAGG
rnacentral:rRNA from 1 species